rnacentral:rRNA from 1 species
ACAGAGGGUGCAAGCGUUGUCCGGAAUCACUGGGCGUAAAGGGCGCGUAGGCGGCCUGGUAAGUCGGGGGUGAAACGCUGCGGCUCAACCGUAGCACUGCCUUCGAGACUGCCUGGCUUGAGCACGGUAGAGGCUGGUGGAAUUCCCGGUGUAGCGGUGGAAUGCGUAGAGAUCGGGAAGAACAUCGGUGGCGAAGGCGGCCAGCUGGGCCGUUGCUGACGCUGAGGCGCGACAGCGUGGGGAGCAAACAGGAUUAGAUACCCUGGUAGUCCACGCCGUAAACGAUGGGUACUAGGCGUCGGGGGGAGCGACCCCCUCGGUGCCGUCGCUAACGCAGUAAGUACCCCGCCUGGGGAGUACGGUCGCAAGACUG